AGAAUCAACGCUGGCGGCGUGCCUAACACAUGCAAGUCGAACGAGAAAGUGGAGCAAUCCAUGAGUAAAGUGGCGCACGGGUGAGUAACACGUGACUAACCUACCCUUGAGUGGGGGAUAACCUAGGGAAACCUGGGCUAAUACCGCAUAAUACCUACGGGUCAAAGGAGCAAUUCGCUUUAGGAGGGGUCGCGGCAGAUUAGUUAGUUGGCGGGGUAAUGGCCCACCAAGACAGUGAUCUGUA
rnacentral:rRNA from 1 species